rnacentral:rRNA from 1 species
AUUGAACGCUGGCGGCAUGCCUUACACAUGCAAGUCGAACGGCAGCACGGGUGCUUGCACCUGGUGGCGAGUGGCGAACGGGUGAGUAAUACAUCGGAACGUACCUUAUCGUGGGGGAUAACGCAGCGAAAGCUGUGCUAAUACCGCAUACGCCCGGAGGGGGAAAGCGGGGGAUCGCAAGACCUCGCGCGAGUAGAGCGGCCGAUGCCUGAUUAGCUUGUUGGGGGGGUAAAAGCCCACCAAGGCGACGAUCAGUAGCUGGUCUGAGAGGACGAUAAGCCACACUGGGACUGAGACACGGCCCAGACUCCUACGGGAGGCAGCAGUGGGGAAUUUUGGACAAUGGGGGCAACCCCGAUCCAGCAAUGCCGCGUGAGUGAAGAAGGCCUUCGGGUUGUAAAGCUCUUUUGUCAGGGAAGAAACACCGGCUCUAACACAGUCCGGGAAUGACGGUACCUGAAGAAUAAGCACCGGCUAACUACGUGCCAGCAGCCGCUGUAA